rnacentral:rRNA from 1 species
CAGCCGCCGCGGGAAUACAGAGGAUGCAAGCGUUAUCCGGAAUGAUUGGGCGUAAAGGGCUCGCAGGCGGUUUCUUAAGUCUGAUGUGAAAGCCCCCGGCUCAACCGGGGAGGGUCAUUGGAAACUGGGAAACUUGAGUGCAGAAGAGGAGAGUGGAAUUCCACGUGUAGCGGUGAAAUGCGUAGAGAUGUGGAGGAACACCAGUGGCGAAGGCGACUCUCUGGUCUGUAACUGACGCUGAGGAGCGAAAGCGUGGGGAGCGAACAGGAUUAGAUACCCGAGUAGUCCCUGUCUCUUAUAC